CAGGCGCCCGAGGCCCCCAGGACUGGGGCGUCUGAUUGGGCCUCAAGAGCCGAGGGUCCGACUGUCGGAGUGGCGGUGACAGUGGGGACUUUCCGGGUCCUCGGGGAGAGUAGGAGCCGGGAGGAGCCCCUCAGUGUCCACAGGACGCGGGUUCAGGCCGCAGGGCCUCCUUCCUUGCUGCAUCCUGUAGUAACUGCGUGUCCACCUCAUCUGCUGGCAACUGCACAUAGCGGACCACUGAGCCUCGGAUGAAGCAGUUCUUCACUGAUAACUAGAGAAAGAUGCAGCACUAAACAGAAAAGAGGACAGGAAACUCAACCUGAUGAAUGUGGCCAAGUGCAGAAAAGAAAUCAACAUGUAAUUGACCCGAUAGUGUAAGCAAGCAAUGACUAAGCUUCCUUCAAAAAGGCAGAGCUUUGGCUAUGAAUCCCAUCUCCUUUACUUGCUGCAAAUAAAUAAAACUA